rnacentral:pre_miRNA from 1 species
AAAAUACUCUCUCCGUCCCAUAUUAAGUGACUUUUUAUUACAUGUAUAUAGACACUUUUUAGGCACAGAUACAUUCAUAUUUGGGCAAAUUUGAGUCACUUAAUACGGGACGGAGUGGGUAUAUC